GCUGCCCUUGAGUGACAGGUAGUUGACAGAAGGCCAUGGACCUUUUAUAGAAGAAGACAGGAAGCUAGGAUUCUGUAAUCAACUACACAAGAGGCAAGAAAGGUGGUCCAGAGUUUCGAUAUAACUUAAAGCCUUCUGUGUGAAAGGUCACAAGUCUCAACCUUCUGAAGAUUUACCAAUCAUCAAACUCUAAAAAAACACCUCUCUGAUUGCUUGCUCUGUAUUCCCCUUCUCUGACUCUAAGUCACAUGGCUCUCAUGACUAGCAAUUAAUUUGCCUUUCCCACUUCUACAUUGCCACUGGUUAGGUGCCAUGGGCAGAAGCACCUGCUGUGACUGUCUUGCACAGGAGAGACUUUUCUCUGGGAUUUAGAUCAGUCCAUUGAGCCAUUUCUCCUUUGUAGGUCCCACAGAACAGCUUGAUAUAUUUCCCUCUUCUGGGAAUGUACAACUUUUGCGAAGCUAACUGCCAAAGGAAGGGAGAAAUUUCCUAUAGGGAGAACAACUAUAGCAAAAGCUGAAAAGGUUAAAUACAGAAAAGAAACUUGUUGAUCAAUCUCACUUCUAAAGAACAAGAAAGAAGAAAAAACAGUUGUAAAGGAAAUGAUAAUGGGUAUGAAAUAGCCAGAAAAAGGAGAAACCUGUGACAAUUGAGAAGUGUGAGAGGCAUCAUGCAAUGUCAAAGGUUAUUUUGCAUGAAGUUUAUCUUGAACUUAAAGGCAAGACCUCAAGAAGCCAGAAUAAGAGCACAUGAUUUCCCCCAAAAUUCAAGAUUUUGGAGUGAAGGCCUGAAGGCAUUAAUAGUAAUUGCCGGGAGCGGUGGCUCACACCUGUAAUCCCAGCACUUUGGGAGGCUGAGUUUAGAAAAAAACCUUUGGACCUGGUUUGAUCAAGGAGAAAAGCAAGGGAAUUCAAUCAGGUGGGUCCAGUGUUUAGAUAUUUACUUUAUAUUUCAUGUGUGUUCUGAUAAUAAAAUGCUUGCAAGUAGUUAAUAGAAAAAACUA
rnacentral:lncRNA from 13 species